rnacentral:rRNA from 1 species
AUUGAACGCUGGCGGCAGGCCUAACACAUGCAAGUCGAGCGAGCGGCGGACGGGUGAGUAAUGUCUGGGAAACUGCCUGAUGGAGGGGGAUAACUACUGGAAACGGUAGCUAAUACCGCAUACCAUCAGAUGUGCCCAGAUGGGGUUAGCUAGUAGGGGGGGUAACGGCUCACCUAGUCGACGGUCCCCAGCUGGUCUGAGAGGAUGACCAGCUCCACGGGAAAUGAGACACGGUCCAGACUCCUACGGGAGGCAGCAGGGGGGAAUAUUGCACAAUGGGCGCAAGCCUGAUGCAGCCAUGCCGCGUGUGUGAAGAAGGCCUUCGGGUUGUAAAGCACUUUCAGCGGGGAGGCGUUACCCGCAGAAGAAGCACCGGCUAACUCCGUGCCAGCAGCCGCGGUAAUAC